rnacentral:lncRNA from 1 species
UGCAGGAACCGUUCAUAUAGGCGUUGAAUUUGCCGCUGGACUCGUCCAGAUCAUAGUGUGUUACCCCUUUUGGGAGGAUACCGAUAGGAAAACCGUAGCCUUGGAUUACUUCGUAGGCCGUGGGGACCGCAACGGCGCCGGUGAGGACGACGACGAGAAUGAGGGAGAGAACAACGCCUCUGCCCGCCGACAUUUGGACUUUCGAUUGCAUUCUGCUAAUUCUCGAUUCAAUUCGAGAAUCGGAAGAAGGAAUUAUGGGGAAUUGAGCUUGUGGCCAAUUUUGGGAGUCUAUGACUUAUGGAGAAAGAAAGCACAACGUGGGAAACUCAUUCACGCUGUACAAAACAAAACUAAGAGAGG